rnacentral:rRNA from 1 species
CACGGUGGAUGCCUUGGCACUAGAAGCCGAUGAAGGACGUUACUAACGACGAUAUGCUUUGGGGAGCUGUAAGUAAGCUUUGAUCCAGAGAUUUCCGAAUGGGGAAACCCAGCACGAGUUAUGUCGUGUUAUCUGCAUGUGAAUACAUAGCAUGCAAGAAGGCAGACCCGGAGAACUGAAACAUCUUAGUACCCGGAGGAAGAGAAAGAAAAAUCGAUUCCCUGAGUAGCGGCGAGCGAAACGGGAAGAGCCCAAACCAAUAAGCUUGCUUAUUGGGGUUGUAGGACACUCU